CCUGAAUGAAAUCCCAAAAGGAAAACUUCCAGGAAUAUUAUAACCAAAUUCCAGAGUUCCCAGCACCUGGUGAAUGGGGCUUUUCCAUGGACCUUGUUGUGCAACAGAAAGUGGGGACUGUCCCUGACCAUGUGGAUCUCCAUGAUUUACAGCCUGAAAGAAGAGAGUUGUUUUCAUGUGCACUGCUCUCUUUAAGAGGGAUUGAUUCAGAACAUUUUGUCAUAGGGCCUUUGGGAGGAAAAGAAAAGUGAGCAGAACUGAUUGAUGCAUUCAGGAAAUGGUGUGCAACCUGUAAGCCCUGUGGACCUCUUGCCUCCUGGAUGGGCCUAUGUCUUGACUUUUAAAGUUCACCUCUACUCUUGUGGUACAGGGGCCACGGUCCUAAGUUUCUUCAAUUGAGGAUCAAGAGCCUUGGGGACUUGUGCUUGCUUGUAGUGACUGGAUCUCCAAGCCUCCCAGGCCUGGGACUGGCCUGCUGAUUCAUGAGUCCUACCUUGGAACAUGAGGAGGGAAACAAAGUCAACACAAGAGUGGGAGACAAUCUUUCUGGGAACAGUCCAGUUACUAGAGGCUAACUCUCUGCGGAAGCACAUCUAAUCUCAGAACAUUGAACAAACAAAAUGCUGAUGGGUGGUGGCACAUGCUCUGAACACUCAGAGGAAAAGACACUCGUGGCAGAAGACACACUUUCUGGGAACAUUCUGGUGUAAGAGAGAAACUGGGAAGCCUUUGUGGGCAAAGAAAUCAGCCCGUAGGAGAAACAUAGGUGGGGUCUACAGUUCACCCAGUGUGGCCUGAGACCCCACCUUUGUUUCUCUGAAGAAAGGUUGGUUUCUUUGCUCAGGAAGGCUUCCCAGUCUCUCUCUUACACCACUUACUACAGGCUUGCUUUCUAUGAAAAAACAUCCAGCCUCAGAACACUCAGAGGAAAAGAUACUUGUGGCAGGAGACACUCUCUGGGAACAGUCCAGUUACUACAGGCUCACUCUCUGUGGAAGCACAUCUAGCCUCAGAAUACUCAGUGGAAGAAAUGCUUAUAGGUGGAGACACACUCUCUGAGAACAAUCUACUUACUACACGUUCCCCCUCUGUGGCAACACAUCGAGGGAAAACAGAGGCCAUAGAAGCAUUCCUGAUGAAAAGACAUGAGGCUUUGAUGCAAAGUGGGGUAAGGUUGUUAUCCAAGGGAUGGCUUGAGAGCUCUCCUGAGGAGACAGGGGCUCCCUGGCUCAGACCUUGGCAACCCCACUCCCUAGCUCCAAAAACUUUCUCAAGAAGAGAUCAGCCAAUACAAGACAAGGGCUUCCAGAGACUCUCUGCCUCAGUCUGUCCAGGGACCCAUUUUGGCAAAGUGUCCAGACCCGCCAAUCUUCAUUCCCGUCUUGCUUCUGGUUUCCAGACCUCCACACCAUGCUUCAGCUACAGGCUCACCCUGAAAAAUCCCGCAGCACCUUGAACUCACCCUGGCCAACCUGCAAUCUACUCCUUGCACCUGAAUUGCUUACACCAAAAGUGGUAGCAUUAGCAGGUUGGUUAUUAGUAUGUUCAUGGUCACUGGGGUAAUUCUGUACCCUGCUACUUUCUGGAGCAGUUCUGGGCAGGAGAAGAAUUGUAUUAGGAUUGGGUGCCCCUGCUAUGGAAGAAUACCCAUAGUCUUCUUCGCUGGACACAUCACACCUGGUGGUCAAAGCUGAUCAGAAAGUCUUGCUACCACCAGUGGACAGUCUCCUUUGCAAAUGCUUUGCUGAGAGAUGCACGUAUCUGCUCUCUCCACAUGCUCAUUAAAAAGUCCACCUUGCUCUCCUUUGGAGAAUAGGUGGUUGCUAAUAGUUCCCAGGCAAGACUGACCCCCUCCAUUCUCUGGGGCUAUUUUGUAAAGAGGAAAGGUGCCUAGUUUAUCAAUAACUGGGUAUGGGUCAGUUUUCCAUGGGCCACCUAACUUGGAAGUCCUUUGAAUACCAAGGUUUCUCAACAGAACUCUAUCUCCUGGUUAAAAGCUUUGACACUCUACUCCAGCAACAUCUGACUUUUGUAUUGGUCGCAGCUCUUCUGAGAUGAAGCCUUGGCUUGCUGGUAUGUGCCUUUCACUUUCCUCACCUCUGAAAUGUACCCAGUGUUAUUAGUGACCUCAUAUGCUUGAUCUAAGCUAUAACAAGUCAAUUAGUAGGCCUGCUUCUCCCGCAAACUUGAACAGUCACGGUCUAAUGCCUGCAAAUUCAUUCAUACCGGAAUUAUAUGCAUGUGCUAGAAAUGACACAUGUUGACUUGACUGGAUGUUUUCUUUAUGUCUCACACUUCCCAGUGUUCAUCAUGGUUGUUUGAAUUAGGGGUUGCAGGAGGCUGAGGACAAAUAGAAGACAAUUCAACAUGGAAUUUCCGAUGUGGAGCAUCCAUCUCCUCCCCAAACAACGCUCAGUCUUCUCCAGAGCUUUCUUGAGGAAAAGAGUUGGGCGCUCUCUCUCUCUCUCUCUCUCUCUCUCUCUCUCUCUCUCUCUCUCUCUCUCUCUCUCUCUCUCUCACACACACACACACACACACACACACACACACACACACACACACACACACAGACUUGCUGUGGUGCAAGCCUGGUAUCUGGCCAAAUUGGAAAGAAAAUAAACCCACAGCUAGCAAAUUAAGGGGGAGCAAGAAAAACAAAGUGUGUGGGAGGGACAGACUCCUGGGACACAGGGGCCUUAUAGUCAAGACACCACUGCUUCUGGAAUAACAACAGCCAGGCAAGGGAGUAGUCAUGUUUACGGCAGGGAAAUCCAAGGUCACCUGGGGAGGGGGAAAGAUCAUUCUCUUGUAGCUUCUUGUUUUAGCUGAUGCUUCUCCUUAUUGCUGAGACUGCCAGCCCCAAGGUGUGGCAGAGGAGACCCAAUGAGGAGGCUGUUCCCAUGGAUGAGGUGAGAGUGUGGAGAGCCAUACUCUUCUGUGAGUAGAGAGAAAGGGAUACAUGGGAUGAAUAUUCAACAAGGAGAAAUGGCAAGAUUUAGCAGUUGGGUGAGGGAAAUGGAUCUGUCGAGGAUCACUCUGAGGUUAUGAAUUGAGUGCUUGGAAGAAUACAGCUAGCAGUCAGUUUCCAAAGGAUGAAAUCCAAACUAUCAAUAGCCAUAUGAAAAAAUGCAGCCAAAAUUAGAAUGAAAGCAGGAAAUGGGAAAUGUUUGAACAGCAAGCUUCUCAUAUAAAGAAUUUAUUUCUCAUAUAUAUAUAUAUAUAUGAAACUGAACUAAAUUUAUAAAAACAAGAGCUUUUCCCCCAAUUGUUAAAUCAUCAAAGGACAUGAACAGGCAGUUUUCAGAGAAUGUAAUCAAAGCUACAAUAGUCAUAUGAAAAUAUGCUCUAAAUCACGAGUCAUUAGAGAAACACAAAUUAAAACAACUCAGAGAUGCAAGCUAAUACUUAUCAGUUUGGCUAAUAUGAGAGAAAAGAAGAAAUGACAAAUGUUGGGAGGGAUGUGGGAAAAUUUAGACUCUAAUGCACUCUUUGUAGAGCUGUAAACUGUUUCCACCAUUCUGGAGAGCAAUUUGAAACUAUGCCUAAAGGACUAGAAAAGCAUGCAUGAUGUUUGACCUGGCAGUACCACUACUAGGUCUGUAUCCCAAGAGAUAAAAAACAAAAUCGAAAAGGACACCUAUAUACAUAGUUAUAGAGCUCUUGUAGUAGUGGAAAAGAAUUAGGAAUUGAGGAGAUGCCCCUAAGUUGGAGAACAGCUGAACAAGUUGUGGUAUAUGAUUGCAAUGGAAUGCUAUUGUGCUAUAAGAAAUGAUGAGCAGGAUGCUUUCAGGAA